GAGUAUUUCAUUAUUCAAACAAUGCUGGAAAGUGGAGCCAAUGAUCACUUCAGUGGUGCUGAUUUGUCAUGGUGACUAGACGAGGGAGGGAGACUUCACAGCGCACAGAACAAAAGAAAAAAGACAACUAUUUGGGGACUGAGAGAGUUUCUUGCAUGAGCAGCAAGAGGCAACCACUACUAAGCUCCAACACACAAAACAGUUCUUCAAUGUAUCUCAAGGGUCUGUAUUCAGCAAGCUCCGCCUCCAGGAUCUUCUCCACAG